CCUAACACAUGCAAGUCGAGGGGUAGAGGAAGCUUGCUUCCUUGAGACCGGCGCACGGGUGCGUAACGCGUAUGCAAUCUACCUUAUACAGGGGAAUAGCCCAGAGAAAUUUGGAUUAAUGCCCCAUAGUAUUAUUGAAUGGCAUCAUUUGAUAAUUAAAGUUCCAACGGUAUAAGAUGAGCAUGCGUCCCAUUAGUUAGUUGGUAAGGUAACGGCUUACCAAGACUAUGAUGGGUAGGGGUCCUGAGAGGGAGAUCCCCCACACUGGUACUGAGACACGGACCAGACUCCUACGGGAGGCAGCAGUGAGGAAUAUUGGACAAUGGGCGCAAGCCUGAUCCAGCCAUGCCGCGUGCAGGAAGACGGUCCUAUGGAUUGUAAACUGCUUUUAUACAGGAAGAAACACCUCUACGUGUAGAGGCUUGACGGUACUGUAAGAAUAAGGAUCGGCUAACUCCGUGCCAGCAGCCGCGGUAAUACGGAGGAUCCAAGCGUUAUCCGGAAUCAUUGGGUUUAAAGGGUCCGUAGGCGGCCUUAUAAGUCAGUGGUGAAAUCUCCUAGCUCAACUAGGAAACUGCCAUUGAUACUGUAGGGCUUGAAUUAUUAGGAAGUAACUAGAAUAUGUAGUGUAGCGGUGAAAUGCUUAGAUAUUACAUGGAAUACCAAUUGCGAAGGCAGGUUACUACUAAUUGAUUGACGCUGAUGGACGAAAGCGUGGGUAGCGAACAGGAUUAGAUACCCUGGUAGUCCACGCCGUAAACGAUGGAUACUAGCUGUUCGGAGCAAUCUGAGUGG
rnacentral:rRNA from 1 species